rnacentral:rRNA from 1 species
GACGAACGCUGGCGGCGUGCCUAAUACAUGCAAGUCGAACGAACCGCGACUAAGUGCUUGCACUAAGUCAAGGUGAGUGGCGAACGGGUGAGUAACACGUGGGUAACCUACCUCAUAGUGGGGGAUAACAGUCGGAAACGACUGCUAAUACCGCAUAGGACAUAGGAUCACAUGAUCCAGUGAGGAAAGGUGGCGCAAGCUAUCGCUAAGAGAUGGACCCGCGGUGCAUUAGCUAGUUGGUAGGGUAAAGGCCUACCAAGGCGAUGAUGCAUAGCCGACCUGAGAGGGUGAUCGGCCACAUUGGGACUGAGACACGGCCCAAACGCCUACGGGAGGCAGCAGUAGGGAAUCUGCCGCAAUGGACGCAAGUCUGACGGAGCAACGCCGCGUGAGUGAAGAAGGGCUUCGGAUCGUAAAGCUCUGUUGUUAGAGAAGAACAGCGCAUAGAGUAACUGCUAUGCGUGGGACGGUAUCUAACCAGAAAGCCACGGCUAACUACGG